CAAAUAAUAAUAAUAAUGGAAAAUUUCAAAAUUGAUUUUCUUUCAGGAUGUAGGCAGAUGAUUUUAAUUUUUACAUUUUUGGAAUCCCAUGGUCAUAAGCUUUCACAGGAAUGUUGCAGUUUUCUAGGGUGCGGACUGGACAGUUAUCUCCUAUUUUUGCUAAGAGUGAGCCUUGUUUGUCAAGAUCUUACACCAGUAAUUGUGUUUAGCACUAAAACAGACGAUGAUAUAAGACCUGGUGCUCUAAAAAACACAAAUUUGAACUGGGGGAGUAUAAUUAUUUUGAGUUUUUCAGAGGAAUACUUUAUUACUCAAGCAGCUGUUUUUUCUUAUUCAAGUUCUCAGGGUUCAAAUGUCUGUCAAAAGAAUUAUCAAGUUUACUUACAAAGUUCUGAUGGGUUAAACAAUUUGAAUGGAUAUGGUACUCAAAAUGGAGUUUCAAAAUAUAAUUCUUUGUAUAAAAGCUAUUUAUGCUAUUAUAACAUUACAUUUAGUGGCAUGAAUGCAAAAUUUUUGGUAUUGAAUGCAUAUGAUACCAUGUCAAUAGCUUACAUUGCUGUUUAUGCUUUUGUAUUUAGAAAACCGGAUUAUUUUGAUAACCCAAACUUGAAUGAGUAUGAAAUUUCUGAGGCUUUUUUCUCAAGUAGUUCAAUUUAUAGUUUGGAUCAAAUUAAAAAUAUGGUAAUGAAUCUCUCAAGUCCCAGUAUGACAUCUCUAAUAUCAACAACCCUAGGGUUUGAAAGUUCAGUUGUUGCAUGGUUUUCCGUUAAAUUGGAUCGAGUUCAGUUGGUUCAUCAAUUUAUUAUAGCAAGCACAGACUCAAGCAUUAUUCAGAAUGUCUUGUUGUUUUUUCGUUUAAAUGACGAUAGAGAUUAUAUUUCCUACAAAGAAAAUAAUGUCACUAAAGUUUUUACAAGUGAUUUGAAUACACAAUGGUGUAGUUAUAAUUUGAUGCACACUUUUAAAGCAUCGGAAAUUCUUGUGUAUGUACAGUCUGGGGCUUUACUUCAGUUCAACUUUAGAUUUGUUGAGGCGGUUCAAUACAAGUUUAAAAAGCCAAUUAUUGGAUCAUUCAUUUUUGCAGAAACUGAUUGGUUUUUAAUUAAGUUAAAUGAAACAAUGUUGAUUACUGGAAUUGCAUUUAAUAACAUUAAUUGGCUUAAAAAAUUUUGUGUUUACUACGAUCUUAAUAGUGAAUAUGUUCCUUAUAGGGAUAACAUUCUGUUUACUGAUGAUAUUAUAUUUGCUGUCACACCAGAGGUCUCAUUCUUUCCUUUUCGUACAAAAAAUUUAAAAUUGGCUUGCUUUAAGUGGUUUGGAGAUGUUACAAACAAUCUAACAGUUAAUUUGAAAGGAAGCCAUUAUCUUAUAGCUGAUUACACUUGGAAAAGUGGAAUUUCUAAUCAAGGUGGUUCACUUGUAGAAUACAUAAAUGCAGAAGGUAUCGACACACUUUAUGGAGAUUCUAGAAAUCUCCAAAAAAUAAACUCUUUCAACAGAUUGAUGAGCAACCAUUAUGGUGAUUCAUGUUUUACUCAGCCAAAUUUGUGUGACACAGGAUUUACUGUACAAAUUGUAGUAUCAGCUAAUCUUACUUCAGAAGAUGUUGUUUUCAAAUUUCGUCCUUCUUUUGCUUUUUAUGUGGCAAACAGUUUAGUAGAUGAACCACAAAUUUUAUAUUUUGGAUGUAUUUCUCAGGAAAAUAAUGGACAAGGAAAUGGAAACAAUAUAAUUAAUAUUGUAUCUUCGUUUUUAUUUGCUGAUAUUAUGUUACCCUCAAAUGCUGAAGUUACAGGCUUUAGUUUUAACUUAAAUAAUAUUGAAACAAUUGGGUUUGUUGCCAGAGUAUAUGUUUUGGUUUCACAAAGUGAUACAUUUCGAAAUUCAUUUCUUUCUCUUAAAUAUAUGUCAUAUGCCUCAGUUAUUAAUAAACUCAUAACAUCUGAUUAUAUCACAAUGCUUGUUAAUGGAUCAACAAAUGGUGCAGUUUCUAAUUCAUUAAAUUUAAAGGAUGUUUUAGAAAAAGUUAGACUAAAAUAUUAUGGUUUAGUGAGAGAUAUUGGUAUUGUUAUAAUAGCAAACAAUUUAUGCACUAAUAAUAUAUUGGUUAAGGUAAACAGAAUAAAUAUAGAGUUGGCUAUUUCAUAUAAAAAUAAAGUUGUUGGAAACAUUGAACUGCUGAUGCCUUUGAAUAUUAUAAAUGUUCCUCAGUCGGUUCAAUAUAUUGGGAAUGGUAUAUACAAUACUGUUCCUGGAUAUAAAAAGAUUAUAUUUUCUCAAGUUUACUACAUAACAACAAUGCAAAUUGGGUCAAAAUCUACAUUAGCAAUAUCAGUUACUCUCAACACAGAGAACUCUGACUAUUUUGAUGCAUCGUAUUACACUUUUAUUGAUCAGUAUUAUUUGAAUAGUGGUGAAAUUCAGUAUGUUACAUUUAAAGGAGUUCUUCAAACAAAACUUUUUUAUAUAACAUCCAGCUCUAUAGAUUUGGGAGUUAUAAAUUUGGAGUUUUAUGGGAGCAAAGAUGCACUUUGCUCAUCUUCUUUAGUGUCAGCUGGACUGAGUGGAUAUUCUUCAAAGAUAGAUGGUUAUGGAUUUCAUAUUCAUUUAAGUAGUAGCAACAAUAUAGUUGCUACAGUUGCUACAAAAGAUUACAUCUAUGAAACUGAUUUAAAGAAUCCAACUAUGACACCUUACACUUUGACAAUGGUUUGGUCUAAACAAAACAAUAGUAUACAACUAUUUCUUAAUGGAACUUUAAUUGCUAAUGAUAGUAUUUUAGAAACAAACAUUAAUUCAACUUAUCAUCGUUUUUUGAAUCAAUACUUGCUUAUGUAUUCUGAUUACUACAAUAAUCAAUCUGAUCUACGUGGAAGUCUUUCCAGCAUCAAAAUUUGGAGUGCAUCAUUUUCAUCAGAGGAAGUAUUGCAGCUAUAUGAACAAUCUUAUUAUGACUGGAACUCCUUGGAUGCAUAUCCACCCUCAGGAUUUAACUUUGGUUCAGAUUGUUACUGUGAAAAUGUUUUAUGCCCAUGUGAAACUUCAGAUAAAAAUAGCAGUGUGGAAUACAGUAGUAGAUUCUCUAUCAUUAAAGAUGUUGCCGAAGAUGAUUUUUUUGAUGAAAAUUUUUUUAUGGAAAGCCCUGAUUAUUUUGCAAACUAUUCUACUAUAUACUUUGAUAAUAUUGUUCUGGAUUUUCAAAACAUAAAACUUUUAUAUGUCCAUAUACAGGGCAAUUUGUUUUUACCUAAUAACAAUUCAUGUUUUAAUUUGACUAUGCAAUUUUUAAAUGAUCCUAAUUUUUCCGCCCACACUCAAUGGUGCAAUUCAACAAGUGCAGAAAGCAUUGAUACUCCAGAUCUUUCAUUGUUAUUAAGUGAUCUUCUCAAAACAGUUUUUUACACAAUACCAUUUACAAUUGUAGUGAAGAUUACCGAUACUUUUUUAAAUCCAGGAUGUGUUAUGAAAAUUGAUUAUGAAUUGCCACUGCCAGGGGGUUUUAUACAUGCAAGUGCUGUUCAAGAAAACUCACAAGAUUUACUUGCUUUUAUUUCACUUGAUGUUACUGGAACAUGUUUGUCAUAUAAGUUUAAGUUUGGUGGGGAAGGAUUUGUAAGCCUCAAUGUGUUAGGUUACACUGGAAGUAUUACAAAAGAGUUAGCUUUUUUUUACAGAAGAGAAGGUCUUAAUAAAUGGGUCAAUUCUUAUGUAGAUUUAAGUAAAAAUUCUGAAAAAUUCUGUUUGGUCAAAUUUGUAGCUUUAAAAAAUGGUCUUGGAAGUGGCUACAUUGCAUUUGGUACGAUUCAAUUUUUAUCUAGUUGUGAUGAGUUGACUAUAAAAGAGCCUGCAGAUAUGGGAAAUAGUUACAUGCUAUCAAAUGGUUCUUUUUUAUUUCCUAAUCCUAAAAUCUUUAUCAGAGGAUCAAGUGAACUUUUCAUAAAUAUUUCUAAUGCAGUGGUAUCUCGUGGUUCUAACACUAAUCUUCUACAAUUUAUUGACGGACACAAUGAGCAAGUUUAUAAAAAAACACUUUCUUUUGUUGAAGUAGAUUUAAGUAAAGACUUUUCAUUCGUAUUUUGGUAUCAAAGCAAUUCAUUUCAAGUGUUGCGUUUUACAUAUGAAAAAAUUGUAGUUGUUAAUUCUCAAGCCUCAGCACUUAUAUUGAUAUUUGAUAGCGUACAAAAAGUUAUUAACAUUGACUCAUCAGUACAAUGGCAUUAUGUGGUGGUCAAAUAUGAGCGAAAGUUUUUAAAGCUUUCAUUUGAUGUUGAUUUUAAUACAGGAAGUGUUUUUGAUGAAGUUCAAUUUCCACAAAAUUCAAGCAUGGAGAUCGUCCUUGAAAAUAACAUAUUCUGUUUUCAAAUGCAUAACGAAGUAUUAUUUCCUUCGGCAUUGAAAGCAGCACAGUUAUGUAUGAUGAAGUCAGUGGAGAAUGCAUGCACCAAACGUAAAAGUGAUUGUGAGUGGUGUAAUCCAUUUUAUGGUGAAUGGGAGUUGUAUCCAUGGGAAUACAUUUUUGAUAAAAAUGGUGCUUGUCUUCAAGACUUAAAUGACUUUAAUAAAACUUUGUAUCAGCCAUUUAAUAUGGUUGUAAAUGACAGUUUUGCAGCUGGCAUCUUUAAUAGUUAUGAAGUUAAAAUAUCAUCAGAAGUUCAAUCUGUUUUGGGUUUUAUUAAUAAUGGAUUACUAACUGAAUCAAAAAAUGUUGUUGUUGCUGAUCAAGAUAUUUUAAAUUAUUUUAGUAACAAUUCAUAUAUGUUCUCAACCUGGGUUAAACACACAUGUGAAGUAGGAUAUGAGUAUACACCAAUUAUAAGUACUUCUAUUGUUGUAUUACUUUGUGGUAUUACAGAUACCAAUGUUUCUUUUGCAACACCAACUUUAGUUUUUUAUGAUAAUUGUAUGUAUGCGUUACCAGGAAAGUCUGGUUUGUGGUACAACUUUGCUUUUGUUUAUAAUAAAAGCAUAUUGAUUUAUAUUGAUGGUGAGCUUGUUCAAAAAACAGAGUGCUUAGCAACUGAUUUACCUUUUGAUAGAAGUUUACAAGUAAAUAAUGUGCAGGUAUCAAGUGUUGGUUCUUAUGCCACUCUUUUAGAUGAAGUAUUUGUUGGAGAUGUUGCUCCUAGUGUCUUAUUUUGGAGGCAAUUAUUAGGUUAUUAUUAUACUGAAAAUAUUAAGCAAAUGACUAAUCCUACACAAUUUGGUUUUUGUUCAAAUGAACCGUGGAUUUAUGACAACAGCUUACCUGGCACCUACCUAUAUGAAAAAGUUGUAAACAUACUUCAACCUCAGAUCACAAACCUACUUCAGUUAAUAAUCACAGAACUUUUACUAGCUGAAAUUUCAUCAAUAAAAAAAGGUUCAAGUAAUAAUGUUUGUGGUGGAUUCAAUGUUUACAUCACUGUUCAAAGUACAGAUGUUUUGCAAAAAAUUGCUUCAAUUAAAAAUGAAAAUAUUCAAAUUUAUCCAAUAUAUCCACAAACAGAUCAGUUACUUGAAUAUUACUCAAUAUUUGCAUCAUAUAAAGUGCUUCGUCAAAAUAGAACAUCUGUUGUGUUAUCACUAGAGCUUUUAGAAGAUGAGAGAUACCCUAUUAGUAAGAUUUAUAUCCAAUGGACCCAAAAAGAUGGCUCAAAUACAAACCAGUCUUGGUCUAAUACAGCAAACUUUAUUCUUAUUAGUCCUCUGAAAAUCUUUACUGAGUACUAUGUUUGCUUUUCUUUUGAAACUAUUAGAAGAAAGUUGAGUUCAUGCAUGCAACAAAAAAACACAUUUUGGACAGCUGAAGGAGAGCCUGUUCAGUACCCAUCCUUAAGCUGUGCAGCUAAUCAAGUAAAGAAAACAAUGGAUUGUGAUGUUACAAAAAUAAGCAUUAGUUCAUGGCAUGGAAUUCCAUACAGCUACAACAUAAUGUAUAGAGUUAAAACACCAGAAGAUUCUUGUAAUAGUUUAGAAAGCCAGUUCAACCAAAGCCAGUAUAACUUUUCUAUAAGUUAUAGUGCUACAUUAAAUAACCCUGGAAAUAUUCGUGUCAGUUUCAACACUUCUGAGUAUCAUUUUUUACAACUGUGUGUUAUUGCUUAUGCUACAACUCAAGGUGGAAAUGGAAUUGGUGUUGCAAAUUAUCAAGUUGUUAGAACUCAGAGCACUGCACCUGAUAAUGCACCAGAUGGCUUAAAAGCAACAUUUAACAAUUCUGUAAUAACAUUUGAGUGGUAUCCUCUUGAAAGUUCUGUUGAUGUAUGGAAUGAUUAUACAGUUCCUGGCACUUAUUACCUAACCUAUGGUAUAUUAAAAAGUUCAAUUCCAAUUGCACUAGAUUCACCUAGUACUGUUGUUGUCAGUGGUAAUAAAUAUGUUUUGAAAAAUGGAAGUCUUUGUCAUGUUAAUAUUGCUUUUAUAAAUGCAUUUUCUGUCGCCAUGGGACCUGCAAGUUUUAAAAUAUGUUUUCUUAGUUCCCUUACAAAACCAGACUGUGUAAAUCCUGUUAUUAAAGAAUAUUAUGUUGUUGAUCCAAGAACAGCUGUGUUUCUUCCUGAGAUUUUUGAUCCUACAUAUUUUAGAGGAAUCAACAAGUCAUGGUUGUUUAAUGUACAAGUAAAAGAAGGGUAUAAUCCUGGACAAAUAGCAGCAAAAUAUUUAUAUAGUCCAUAUUAUUUUGAUUUACCAAUUGAAAAAUAUGCUGAAAGAUCUAUGCUAUGUAUUGAUGAAGAUUUAUCACAAUUUCUUAAUCAAAACAAUAAUUAUAACAUAACUUUGAUGGGAUUACAUCCUAAUACAAGUUAUCAAGUUUCAAUUCAACCCUGCAAUGAAUAUGGUUGUGGUAAAAUUUCAAAUCCAGUGUUUUUUAAUACAUACUCUGACAUACCAAGUUGUUCACCUGAAUUUCUUCACUUACAAAAUGAAUCUUCUACAUCUAUGAUUGUAUCUUGGAAUGAGCUAGAUAUCAGUUGUGCAAACGGAAAUAUAGAAAACUAUAUUCUUAAAUGCCAUGGAAAUCAAUCAGGCCUCUUGGGUAAUAUUAGUACAGAUCUUUCAGUAGAGUUGAUCAAUUUGCAUAAGUAUGAGUUUAUUUGCUGUAGGAUUGCUGUACGUAACAUCAAUGGAACUGGGCCUUUUAGUUCCGAAAUAUGUGCUUUCACUGAUGAAGAUGUGCCCAAUGAUGCUCCAAUAUCAAGCAAAAUUAAAACUACAUUCUCUUCUGGGUGUAUUUCAAUUCUAGCCCCUAAAAUAGUUGAUAUGAAUGGUAUUGUUCUAGGCAUUCAAGCAAAUAUAACCAAUCUUACAAUUGCCAAUUCAGAAACAAGUUUGCAACAGCAAUCAUAUUCUAAAGAUUAUGAAUUUAUCUUUAAAGCUGACCAUUUAUAUAAGGGUUUUGUGAAUAUUUGUUUUGAUCAAUUGCUACCAUUUUUUGUUUAUAGUGUUGAGUUAAGAUACUUUAACUCAAUUGGUUAUAGUCCAUCAAGUACCUAUCAGUUUGUAACAGAGGAAUACUUUCCUGAGGCACCAAGUUUAAUAUCAUUUUCAAGUGAUAAUGUACAAAUUAUUACAGUUAAUUGGAGUAGUGUUCCUAUAGAAAAAAGUAAUGGAAUUAUAUCUCGAUACCUAAUUUGCCGCAAACAAGUAUUAGACAAAAAUAUUUUGGGAGAAGAAGUUUGCUUCAAUUACACAAAUCUUUUAUUUCUCAAUUUUAACUUAACUAAUCUUAAUCGUGGAAGCACUCACAAUGUUAGUGUUGCUGCAUGCAAUAAAGCAGGAUGUGGAAAAAAAAUUUAUAUUCUUGCAAGUGCUAUGGGGUUUACUGAUGGUCAUUGGCUAGAUUGGUCAAACUGGGGUGCUUGUAGUCAGACUUGUGAUCAAGGUCAGAAGAUGAGAACACGUGUUUGUACUCCUCAUAGUGUGGGAGGUUAUGAUUGCUUUGGAACUAACACAAGCUUUGAAAUUUGUCAAGUGACAAAAUGUUCUGGUUUUGUUUUGGGAAGAGAAGGUGAAACAAAUUGUUCAGUUGUAUGUGCAAAAGACAAUUACCUAUGUUCACCUUUUUAUUUAAAACCGUAUAAUGAUACAUCAAUUUUUUUGAAUGCCAUUACUCCAAUUAAAUGUCGAGCAAGUUUGGAUUACAGAGUCUACAGUUCUGAUUUAGAUCCUAGUUUGGAUAAUAGUACAGGUGUUUGCCAUGGUUACAUUAACAUUCCAGAUGAAGUUCCUUGUGAGAGUAAAAACACUUUUAAUCAACCAAAAAUGCACAGAUUGUGUAACUGUAUCAGUCCAAAUGAUUAUGGAUUUGCUUUAUGGGCUCGUUGGAGUUUUUGUUCUGAGACAUGUGGAAACACAAGCAUACAAGUUAGAAAGAGAAAUUGUUUAGGAGUUUGUUCUGGAAACUCUGUAGAAGUUAAACUGUGUGAUGUUCCUGUUUGUCCAGUUGAUGGGGAAUGGGGAAGUUGGGGAAAUUAUUCAGCAUGUAACUCCACUUGUGGGUAUGGCUAUCAAAUUCGUACUAGAGAAUGUAACAAUCCUUCUACAAUUGGAAGUGGUACACCAUGUCAAGGAAUUCAGAAAGAUGAAAAACCAGAGUGCAAUGCUUUUCCUUGCCCAGUUGAUGGUGGUUACUCAAACUGGACUGAUUGGUCAAUAUGCAGUAGACCUUGUGGAGAAGGAGUAACCAUAAGGAGGCGUUACUGCAACAAUCCAGUACCUGCAAUGAGGGGUAAAGAAUGUAAUGGCAGUGAUUUAAUGACAAUGCCUUGUUUUUUGCAAAACUGCAAAUCUAUAAGAGUGGAUCUGAUACAGAGAACAUUCGAGACUUGGAUGUGGAAAAUGUAUAACAUUAAAUCAGAAGAAGCAUAUGUAUUUGUUCAGAGAUUUAAUCAAUCUGUUUAUACAUAUUUUAAAGAAAAAAAUUUAAAUGGUUUGCAAAGUGUUGAUGUUACCCUUCUUAAAGCUGGUAGCAUUGUUGUAUAUUACACACUAACGUUUGAAUAUUUGUAUGAUCAAAUGGUUGAGUUCAUUGAUGGAAUCAAUCAAUAUGGGAAAAUAACAAAUAUCAGUAUAGAGAAUACGCAACUUUACUCUUCAAAUGAUGUGUUUUGUACUCCACCUUACAACAUCUCAGCUGUAGCUUAUGACAAAAACACUGUGAUGUUAUCAUGGGUGCGAGAUGCUUGUGUUAACCAAACAGACAUAUGGUUGUAUGUUUAUUACAAAGACAUAACUUCUUCAAACUCAACAUGGGAAUGGAGGGGUUUAGAUUCAAGUAAACAGUGGGGACUAUUGCCUGAUCUUAUAACAUCUCAUAAAUAUAAGGCAUACAUGCUAACGGCUCUAAGUAUUGGAAAUGGUUUGCCAAGUACAGUUUUUUAUUUUGAAACAUCACCUUUCCCUCCAGAGAGGCCUCCUCCUUAUGCAUAUACUUUUUCUCCAAGUUCUACAGAAAUUUAUAUUGAGUGGACAGAUAUACCAGAAGAAUAUCAAAAUGGUCCAAUACUUGGCUAUAAAAUAAAAUAUAAGAUUUAUAUAAAUAGUGAAAGCUUUCAAAUGGUUGAAGCACAAUUUGGUUUUAAUGCUUUUACAAUAAAAAAUUUAAGACCUUUCACACUUUAUCUUGUGGAAGUUUAUGGAUAUAAUGUAAAUGGUGAUGGUCCUGCUCAAUAUUCUAUGUGCAAAACAGUAGAAGGAGUUCCUUCUAUCCCAGUUCCUAAAUUUGUUGUAAAUGACAUGCAAUCUAUCAGUUGGUGGUCAGUGUCAUGGGGACCAAUCCCAUCAGAGUAUGUUAAUGGAAUUUUACUUGGAUAUCAGCUUGUAUAUUAUUUAAGCUAUCAAUCAGGAGUAGAAAUAAGUGGAGAAAAAACAAAAAUUACUUUAGUUUUCGACAUUUACACUCGCUAUUAUAAACAAAGAAAUUUGCUUAAUUAUGCUAUUUACAGUGUGAGUGUUGCAGGUUUCACUGCAACUGGAAGUGGUCCUGCACCUGAAUAUCAAGCAAGAACAUGCAAAUGUGCAGAAUUGCUUUAUGCAAACAUAUACAUUAAAAACCCAUUCACUUCUCUUGAUGCUGAUUUGACCCCAAGUGGAUUUUUUAUUAAACUGUUGCAAGAUACAGUUGUUCAAUCCUGCGGUUCUUGUAAAGGUUACAAUAGUUCUAAGCUAUACUUUACUCAAUCUAAGUAUGGUGAUGAUCCUGUAAAAAGCUCAGAACUUGAUUUAAAAAAUGCAAUAAACAAGGAUGUUGACUUAAGUUUUCCUAUUUAUGGAGUGAAUGGUCGAGAAGUUGCACCCGACAGUAAGUUUUCUGUGUUGGUCGUGUCACCUGGAAUCGCAAUGGUUGUGCGUAAUGAAAACACUAUAAAUCAAGUUAUUAAGCAAAUGGUAUUAGGUGUGUUAAAUGUAUGGCCUGUUCUGCUAAUUAGCUAUGCGAUUGCUUUUAUAUUUGGAUCAAUUUUCUAAUCCAAGUCAGUUUUCAAAGGGAAGUUCACUUCGCGGUCCAAUGUCAGGAUUUUGGUUUACAUUUGUAACAAUGACAACAAUUGGAUAUGGCGACUUAAGUCCUCGUUCGGUAUUAGCAAGAAUAUUUGCAAUGGUUUGGUUUCUCACUGGAUUGAUUUUGAAUGGCUUGAUUAUUGCUUUUAUCGUUACAAAAUUGACAGUUUUUAGUUCAAAUAGUGAAUAU
rnacentral:misc_RNA from 1 species